GAUGAACGCUGGCGGCGUGCCUAAUACAUGCAAGUCGAGCGAACAGACGAGGAGCUUGCUCCUCUGACGUUAGCGGCGGACGGGUGAGUAACACGUGGAUAACCUACCUAUAAGACUGGGAUAACUUCGGGAAACCGGAGAUAAUACCGGAUAAUAUAUUGAACCGCAUGGUUCAAUAGUGAAAGACGGUUUUGCUGUCACUUAUAGAUGGAUCCGCGCCGCAUUAGCUAGUUGGUAAGGUAACGGCUUACCAAGGCAACGAUGCGUAGCCGACCUGAGAGGGUGAUCAGCCACACUGGAACUGAGACACGGUCCAGACUCCUACGGGAGGCAGCAGUAGGGAAUCUUCCGCAAUGGGCGAAAGCCUGACGGAGCAACGCCGCGUGAGUGAUGAAGGUCUUCGGAUCGUAAAACUCUUUUAUUAGGGAAGAACAAAUGUGUAAGUAACUAUGCACGUCUUGACGGUACCUAAUCAGAAAGCCACGGCUAACUACGUG
rnacentral:rRNA from 1 species